rnacentral:rRNA from 1 species
AAGUAGCGGCGAGCGAACGCGGAUUAGCCCAAACCAAUGUUGUUACGGCAAUAUUGGGGUUGUAGGACCACGACAUUUGAUGCAUGAUGAACUAGAACAAGUUGGAAAGCUUGGCCAUAGACGGUGAUAGCCCGGUAUAAGUAAAGCGUGCGUAGAUAGUGGUAUCCUGAGUAGUGCGGGGCACGUGAAACCCUGUAUGAAUCAGUCGGGACCAUCCGAUAAGGCUAAAUACUCCUGAGAGACCGAUAGUGAACUAGUACCGUGAGGGAAAGGUGAAAAGAACCCUGAAUAAGGGAGUGAAAUAGAUCCUGAAACCAUACGCUUACAAGCGGUCGGAGCUGACUUGAUCAGUGACGGCGUGCCUUUUGCAUAAUGAGCCUACGAGUUACUUUAACUAGCAAGGUUAAGCACUUCAGGUGCGGAUCCGUAGCGAAAGCGAGUCUGAAUAGGGCGCUAUAGUUAGUUUGAGUAGACGCGAAACCGUGUGAUCUACCCUUGGGCAGGUUGAAGCUGUGGUAACACAUAGUGGAGGACCGAACCCGUUGACGUUGAAAAGUCUUGGGAUGACCUGAGGGUAGGGGUGAAAGGCCAAUCAAACUCGGAAAUAGCUCGUACUCCCCGAAAUGCAUUUAGGUGCAGCGUUGAUUUAUAGUUUUAUAGAGGUAGAGCUACUGAUUGGAUGCGGGGGCUUCACCGCCUACCAAUUCCUGACAAACUCCGAAUGCUAUAAAAUGUUAAUCAGCAGUGAGGGCAUGGGUGCUAAGGUCCAUGUCCGAGAGGGAAAGAACCCAGACCAUCAGCUAAGGUCCCCAAAUGUAUGUUAAGUUGAAAAAACGCGGUUGAACUGCUUAGACAGCUAGGAUGUUGGCUUGGAAGCAGCCAUUCAUUUAAAGAGUGCGUAACAGCUCACUAGUCGAGCGGUUCGGCAUGGAUAAUAAUCGGGCAUAAACAUACUACCGAAGCUAUGGGAUCCUGCAAGAGCAGUGAUCGGUAGGGGAGCAUUCUAAUUGUGUUGAAGGUGUGCUGUGAGGCAUGCUGGAACGGUUAGAAAAGAAAAUGUAGGCAUAAGUAACGAUAAUGCGGGCGAGAAACCCGCACACCGAAAGACCAAGGUUUCCUCAGCUAUGCUAAUCAGCUGAGGGUUAGUCGGGACCUAACGCGAACCCGAAAGGGGUAGUGGAUGGACAACAGGUUAAUAUUCCUGUACCUGCUCACGCUAAAAGUGACGGAGGCGAGAAGUUGGUGCGUACAGACGGAAUUGUACGUUGAAGGGAGUGGUAACACCCCGAUAGUACACCGAGACCACGGUCAAGGUGAUAAUCCAGCAUAUCGACUUCCAAGAAAAGCGAGUGAAGCAGCCCGUACCGUAAACCGACACAGGUGGUUGGGAUGAGAAUUCUAAGGUGCUCGAGAGAUUCAUGGCUAAGGAACUAGGCAAAAUCGACCCGUAACUUCGGGAGAAGGGUCGCCCAUCUUUUAGAUGGGCCGCAGUGAAGAGGUCCAGGCGACUGUUUAUCAAAAACACAGGGCUCUGCUAAAUGGAAACAUGAAGUAUAGGGCCUGACACCUGCCCGGUGCCGGAAGGUUAAGAGGAGGGUUUAGCUUCGGCGAAGAUCUGAAUUGAAGCCCCGGUAAACGGCGGCCGUAACAAUAACGGUCCUAAGGUAGCG